rnacentral:lncRNA from 1 species
UCCAUUUGAACCCAUGCUAGACCCAAUAUGAUUCACCAUAAAAAAAUCAAUAAUUCAAUUAUUUAAAUUUGAAAUUGAUCUGAAAUUUUAAAAACAGAAUUAACUCAUUAAUUCCAUCAAAAACCAACCCGUUAUAUCAUAUUUAAAAGUGGACUAUAAAAUCUAUGCCCCAAUGGCACUGAAAUUCCAAGAGUAAAACGUUACUCCACUAAAAUGCAGCUUCAGAUUGAUAUUUCAAUUUGACUGAACUCCAAAAUUUUGACCGCGGAGUUCAAAGCUCCAAAUGCCACGGGUACUUAUUUUUAUACCCUGUCAAUCCCUUUCUUUGUUAUUAUUUAUUUUAUUUUUAAUAUAAAAAUACUUUUUUAAUAUUUAGUGUAAUACCCAAAUUUUGCCCGGCCCGAGCCCAAGUAUAUAAACAAAUCAAAAAAAUUAACAACAAUCCAAUAGCAGUCCAUUUACAAUAACCAAUCGACCCAAUUAGGCUAAUCCCUAGCCCAAUCGUGUUAUAGGCCCAACAAACCCAAACCCUGAUAAGCCUAAAUAGCUUCCAAAAAACCCUAGGGUUUCUGGAACGGACCAAGCGCCGCAACUCCCUCAGCCCCAGCGCGAGCCACCACAACAGUAGCCUCACAUACACUGCCACGCACGCCUCCACGCCACGCGCCUCCGUACACUGUACCUGCAAAGGAAACGAAGACAACGCAGCACACAAAAGAACAAAAAAGGAAGAAAAGAAAAUAAAAAAAUAGCACAAAGAGAAAAUAGGAGAAAGAGAAGAAAGAUGGAUGUAUUUUCGGGGCUAUAAAACCCCAUUUUCUGUAUUGUUUCAGAUCCUUUUUUUUUACACACAUCAGAAUAAAAAAACCGAGCAAGAUCUUAAGAGGUUGAGAAUCCGAUCGUUUUUCCUUUUGGUUCUUCGUUUUCUAUUUUCUUUUUAUUUUUUUAUUCAUUUAUUUGUUUGUUCGUCUCUUUUACAAAUCGAUUUUAACAAAAAAAUCUAGAAUAAGAAGAAAAGAAAAGGAAAUACCUGGAAUCGCCGCAAACCCCCAUUACCGGAGAUCUUCUUUGGUCGCCGAAAAUCGGACCGGAAAGAGGUGUGGGGUUCUCUUAUUUCGAAUGGUCGUGCCCAGAACCGAAAAAGAGGGUGUUGAGAGGAUCUGAGAGACCCUCUCUCUGUUUUUGCUGGAAAACGAAAAUGGAAUGUUUUUUUUUGUGUGUUUUUUGCUAUUUAUAUACGGUCCAAUACGACGCCGUUUUGGGCUUAAGCAUAAAUGGCCAAAACGACGUCGUUUCACAUGCGACCCGAACACCCGACUCGAAUGCGGUCAGGAUCCGCGUGUUUUGGUGGGAGGGGCUAAUUUCAUAUUUAGCCCCUCCGCUUUUGUAACCUAAUGUAAUCUGAUUUUUACUCAUCUUCGAUUUUGGCCAUGAUUUUUU